UGUUGAAACCUUCAAAGGUGCCAUAAG
rnacentral:piRNA from 1 species